rnacentral:ncRNA from 1 species
CUUAUAGAGAAAGGCCGAGGGAUUAGACCCGGUGAAGCCUUAGCAACCUGUCUCUGGACAAGGUGCUACAUUCUACCUUGAAUAGGAAAGAUAAG